UACGGAGGAUGCAGGCGUUAUCCGGAAUGAUUGGGCGUAAAGCGUCCGCAGGUGGCUAUGUAAGUCUGCUGUUAAAGAGUCUAGCUCAACUAGAUAAGAGCAGUGGAAACUACAAGGCUAGAGUACGUUCGGGGCAGAGGGAAUUCCUGGUGUAGCGGUGAAAUGCGUAGAGAUCAGGAAGAACACCAGUGGCGAAGGCGCUCUGCUAGGCCGUAACUGACACUGAGGGACGAAAGCUAGGGGAGCGAAUGGG
rnacentral:rRNA from 1 species